rnacentral:rRNA from 1 species
UACGUAGGGGGCUAGCGUUAUCCGGAAUUACUGGGCGUAAAGGGUGCGUAGGUGGUUUCUUAAGUCAGAGGUGAAAGGCUACGGCUCAACCGUAGUAAGCCUUUGAAACUGGGAAACUUGAGUGCAGGAGAGGAGAGUGGAAUUCCUAGUGUAGCGGUGAAAUGCGUAGAUAUUAGGAGGACCACCAGUUGCGAAGGCGGCUCUCUGGACUGUAACUGACGCUGAGGCACGAAAGCGUGGGGAUCAAACAGGAUUAGAUACCCUGGUAGUCCCUGAG